AUGAAUAUAUUUGUGUUUCCAACCUCCAAUUUGCAUGAACACCUUGGUGUUGAUGUUUUGAUGUUUGUCGCUUAUCUGCGGGAGUGCGGCCUAGGUGCUUGUGAUAUUGCCAAGCUAUGCAGCAGGCAACCAUGGCUUCUCACCGCCAACCUGGGGCGUGUCCAGGCGAUGGUGGAAUGCGCUGAAAACAUAGGUGUGCCCCGUGCCUCUGGGAUGUUCAGGCACGCGCUGCACGCUGUUGCAUUUCUCAGCGAGGACAAGAUCGCAGCCAGGGUGAACUACUUGAAGAACACCUUCAGGUGGACGGAUGCUGAGGUAGGCAUGGCUGUUUCUAAGGCUCCAUCGGUGCUGGCGAGGUCCAAGGAGUCGCUGCAGCGCAGGUCUGAGUUCCUCAUCUCCGAGGUGGGCUUGGAACCGCUGUACAUUGCUCAACGGUCGGAAAUAAUCGGUCACAGCCUAGAGGGCCGGCUCAGGCCCAGGUACUAUGCUGUGAAGUUUCUCAAGGAAAAUGGAUUGCUCAAGCGUGACCCAAGCUACAGUACCGUUUUCAAGAUUAGUGAGAAGGCAUUCAGGAAGAAGUUCAUAUUCCCUCACAAGGAGGCUGCACUGCACCUGGCAGAAGACUAUGAUGCCGCUUGCAAGGGGGAUGUGCCGACUAAUUUCAGAUUCACAUAA
rnacentral:rRNA from 1 species